CGGGGAUUAGCUCAGAUGGCUAGAGCACUCGCUUUGGGAGCGAGGGGUCGAGAGUUCGAGUCCCUCAUCCCCGA
rnacentral:tRNA from 1 species